rnacentral:rRNA from 1 species
AUAAUGCCACAAUGGGCGGCAAGCCUGAUGCAGCCAUGCCGGCGUGUGUGAGAGGCCUUAGGGUUGUAAGCACUUCAGCGAGGAGGAAGGGCAGUGUGCUAAUAGCACAUUGCAUUGACGUUACUCGCAGAAGAAGCACCGGCUAACUCCGUGCCAGCAGCCGGCGGUAAUACGGAGGGUGCAAGCGUUAAUCGGAAUUACUGGGCGUAAAGCGCACGCAGGCGGUUUGUUAAGUCAGAUGUGAAAUCCCCGCGCUUAACGUGGGAACUGCAUUUGAAACUGGCAAGCUAGAGUCUUGUAGAGGGGGGUAGAAUUCCAGGUGUAGCGGUGAAAUGCGUAGAGAUCUGGAGGAAUACCGGUGGCGAAGGCGGCCCCCUGGACAAAGACUGACGCUCAGGUGCGAAAGCGUGGGGAGCAAACAGGAUUAGAUACCCUGGUAGUCCACGCUGUAAACGAUGUCGAUUUGGAGGUUGUGCCCUUGAGGCGUGGCUUCCGGAGCUAACGCGUUAAAUCGACCGCCUGGGGAGUACGGCCGCAAGGUUAAAACUCAAAUGAAUUGACGGGGGCCCGCACAAGCGGUGGAGCAUGUGGUUUAAUUCGAUGCAACGCGAAGAACCUUACCUACUCUUGACAUCCAGAGAAUUCGCUAGAGAUAGCUUAGUGCCUUCGGGAACUCUGAGACAGGUGCUGCAUGGCUGUCGUCAGCUCGUGUUGUGAAAUGUUGGGUUAAGUCCCGCAACGAGCGCAACCCUUAUCCUUUGUUGCCAGCGAUUCGGUCGGGAACUCAAAGGAGACUGCCGGUGAUAAACCGGAGGAAGGUGGGGAUGACGUCAAGUCAUCAUGGCCCUUACGAGUAGGGCUACACACGUGCUACAAUGGCGUAUACAAAGAGAAGCGAACUCGCGAGAGCAAGCGGACCUCAUAAAGUACGUCGUAGUCCGGAUUGGAGUCUGCAACUCGACUCCAUGAAGUCGGAAUCGCUAGUAAUCGUAGAUCAGAAUGCUACGGUGAAUACGUUCCCGGGCCUUGUACACACCGCCCGUCACACCAUGGGAGUGGGUUGCAAAAGAAGUAGGUAGCUUAACCUUCCGGGAGGGCGCUUACCAAGUUGGUUGCCAUGU